rnacentral:rRNA from 1 species
AGUGAACGCUGGCGGUAGGCCUAACACAUGCAAGUCGAACGGCAGCACAGUAAGAGCUUGCUCUUACGGGUGGCGAGUGGCGGACGAGUGAGGAAUACAUCGGAAUCUACUUUUUCGUGGGGGAUAACGUAGGGAAACUUACGCUAAUACCGCAUACGACCUACGGGUGAAAGCAGGGGAUCUUCGGACCUUGCGCGAUUGAAUGAGCCGAUGUCGGAUGAGCUAGUUGGCGGGGUAAAGGCCCACCAAGGCGACGAUCCGUAGCUGGUCUGAGAGGAUGAUCAGCCACACUGGAACUGAGACACGGUCCAGACUCCUACGGGAGGCAGGAGUGGGGAAUAUUGGACAAUGGGCGAAAGCCUGAUCCAGCCAUACCGCGUGGGUGAAGAAGGCCUUCGGGUUGUAAAGCCCUUUUGUUGGGAAAGAAAAGCAGCAGGUUAAUACCCCGCUGUUCUGACGGUACCCAAAGAAUAAGCACCGGCUAACUUCG